CUUCAGGUCCUCAUGGUGCACUCUGAAUUGCAGCCCGCUGAUGCUGGGAUGUGCAGGCAUGGAGAAAUAUAGCUCUGGUACAUGAUCUCUACAGCAAACAGCUAUUCACUUGAAGUGUGCACUGGGAACAGAUUUAAGCAACAAGGAUUUUUUUGAAGAAGCUGGACACAGAAGACAGAACGGGAGCCUCCCAGGGUACUCCAAGACUGAAGUCCACAUGAAAAAUGGGCUGAAUGGCGAAUCUAAAAAUGCUAAGCAGGAUGUUGGAUUGAAGUCUGCUUUGGCAUUUUGUAAUAAGAGAAUCUGUCCGAGUUGAUGCUUUGUCAGAAGCAAGUGCUGCAAUAUUUAAUUCUCAGUGAUUAAUGUACAAUAUACAAAAUUGGAUGACUAAUAGAAGUUCUUCCUUGUCUCAGCUUUUUUAAAAAAAAUCCAAUCAAAAUACACAGACUGAAGGAACAAAAAGACCUUUCAGUCCAACUCUGUCCUCAAAGACCAAAUUAUCAGUCAAUAUCCCUCAUAUAAAUGACUGUCUUGUAUAUUCUUAUAUGUUCUAUACUUAAUAUACUAUACACUUAAAUCCUACACAUUUAACCUUUUGUUACUGAAAAAACAUUCCUCUAAUAACAUAGCACCAGGACUGAUGAACUUGCCUUUCAUUAAGAAGCCUGCUGGAGUGGAAUAGUUCUACGCUCAACAAAAAACCAAAGUUGGUGAAAAUAAGAAAGCGAAAUGAAUGCAGCUUUGAUACAGUCUCUUCAUUCUUCUUAUUAUUCUUGAUAAAAAGCAUAUUUGGUUUAUUUACAAAGUGGUUUUACUUUUAGUGAUGUGGUUUUAUAAUCUGAAUCAGGAUUUAAUGAUAAAUCACUUCUAUUUUAUAUGUUUAAUCAUAAGAAGAUACUAUGAUUUUUAGGACUGAAUGGUUCAACACAAGUAAGCCUUAUAUUCAUCCCUAUUUUUGUGGUUUUGAUCUACUCCUCCCCCAUUUCACUUUCUUUCCCAAAUAGUUUUUCCUUUCCUACUGCGUUUCUUCUGUCUUUGAGCUAAAUACUGAUAAGCACUGUUGGGGACAGGGAAAGAGGGCUGCACAAUGGCCUGGAUAACAACAGCUGACAAGUGCUGUGAGAGUAACUCUGUGUGACUGGAACAGCCAAAAGUGUCUGAGAUUUGCCCAAACAGUGAUACUGCUGAAGAAGAUGAUGACCAUCAUCCAGAUUGAAGAGCAACCAGGGAAUUACAAAGAUACUUUUGAAACAAUGAAGGAGAACCUUGAAAAGAAAUAUGAAAGACUCAUAGAAAGUAUGCAACAAUCGUGAGGGACCUUGGAGUGAGAAUAGGAUAACAGAGCAGCAGUUUAAAUCCAUUUUGACACUGGCAGAAGUCGCCCCAGCAUGUUAAUUCUGGGGCACCCACAGACAGUAUGUGUAAGUAUGGGUACCUGCACACCCAGUAGUGGAGGAGUCUUACAGCUGUGAGCAUGUGUGUGUAAUUUUAACUUUUUAUCAUUACUUAUAAAAGGAUGUUUAGAAAUUUACAGAUCUCUGUUAAUG